rnacentral:lncRNA from 10 species
AGAAGGUUAUGAAAUGAAAGAGAUUGACCCCACUCCCCAUUACUGUCUGUAUAGGUGCUUACACUUCUGAGACAUACAAAUUGAUAUGGAAUAAUUUGUGAAAAUGGAAUUGCCUUAAAGAAUUUGAAGUAAGAGCACAAUUCUGGGAGUGGAGUUCUUAGAUGAUUCACAACAUUCCUCUUAGAAUUAAUUUAAGUAUUUUGUUUCACUAGGGUGCAAGUCUAUGAAGUUGUUUAUGCCACCAUUUCAGAAGUCAAAGCACCACUAUUCAUUUUACAACUUCUUUCUGCAAAGCACUGUACCACCUUCUGAAUGUAAUACGUAGUUGAAUAAAAAAAUUAUUCCCGUA